UACCCCUGCCUCCAAAGCUACACCCCAUCUUUGACCACUCUCUCCUCUUCCAGCUUCUCUUCCCUAGCAUCCUACCAAACUCCUCUCCGGUGGCACUGAAUGCCAUCCCACCAGUCCCUGGCACUUGCAAAGUACCUUACCCUCCCCCUCAUUCUCCCCACAUAAGCCUUCCCCAGCAAGCCAAACCUGACAGUACCACUGCGCAAACAAAACGGAAACUGCCUUCGUUAAUUUCCAUUGGCCAUGCUGAGAAAUUCAGAAAGUAAAGAAAGAGCACAAACGGGGCUUUCCAUGCAAGGACCUCACAAUGCUGCAUAAGCCACAUUCAUAAGCCAAAUUCACCACUGGCCCAAUGACAUUAGCCUCACUCUGUAUCUAUGAAGUAGACAGAAAUAGGCACAUUGUGAUGGAAGAUUUGACUUUGCCAUGGCUCCUUGCUUAGUCAUCUGCAGUAGCCCGGAGCAGUUAUGAGAAGACAGAGUGUCUGAUUUGUUUGUUUAUUUGUUUCUUGUCCUCCCUGAGUUGCCUUCAGAAUUUGCAAUGUGAAGAGCAGUUCAGGAAACACAGGGAAGAUGACACGGCUCAUCUGCACUCAAUGGAUGCAUCAUCAGAUCAAAUGAGGAUCUCAAACCACACCCCACGCACACACCCACACAUAUUGUCUUUCCAUUGCCUAAAAUCAUCACUUAAGGAAAAAGGGUACUACUUUGCACUCAGACCUGUUCUAUACAAAGUUGUACAUAUAAAACUAGAGGUGCGAUUUGAUAUCACUUUGGUUAAACUGGUGUAACUUUGUGCCGCUUGUAUUAGUUUAAACCUGGUUUAUAGCAGUUUAGUUUGUGCCACAGGCUAUAAACUGGAUUAUGCCACUUAUAAAGCGCUACAAACCAGAUGCGGUAUAAGUGUGUCCGAAUACAAAGAUGCAUUGGAAUUAUAAGCUCUUUGGGGAAGGGACCAUCUUUUUAUUGUUUGUACAGCACCUGGCACAGUGGAGUCCUGGUUCAGGGGGUUGGACUAGAUGACCUUCUGGGGUCCCUUCCAACCCUGAUAUUCUAUGAUUCUAUGACUCCUAGGUGUUACCCAUAAUACAAAAAAAGUGAUUCAAGUUCAAUUGAUGUAACUUCUGUGUGUGGACAAGCCCUUAUGUCAUGCCUUUAAUCCCAGGAGCUGAAUGCGUUUUGCUGUCAUUCAUGAAUGAAGCCUCACCCCACCCACGGGAAAGCCAAUGAAUCUUUUUAUCCCCAUGCGGUAGACGGUGAAACUGAGGCACAGCAAGAUGUGAUUUAGCCCAAGGUCAGUGCCAGGGAGAGAACCCAGGAGUCCUGACUCUCAGCACCAUGCUAGACUGCGCUGCCCCUCCCCCACCUUGUCUCUUUCAUGCAGUUGCUCUUGGACGUUUUUGGGGGGGGGGGGGCUUGUGUCGGGUGUCAAUGUUCAAAUACGGAAUUGCUCUGCUGGACAAGACCAGGAAACUGCAUCCUCUUGGGUGCCCGCAGGAAGGAAUCCCUGCUUUAAAAUUACUUAUUUUCAUGAAGCGCUCCCCACCCCCCGCCACUUAUUCUUUUCCUUUUCACUGACCCCCCAACAAGUCUCUGAUUGGGCUCUGAGGUCUCUGAGGCCAAAGCUUUGGGGGGGGGGUUAAACAACCAUGUUUUCCCCUGCAGAUUGGGCAAUCCCAGUGGUUUCUUCCCUCAAUCGGCAUUGCCAACACCAGGCUUGAUAGCUGCUGGAUGGGAUUUCUGAUUCCUGCCGUGAGGCUACAGGGAGUCCGAAUGUCAACACACAAACAACAGCUAGACCCCGGUUCAUGCGUGACCAUCACAAUAGCUGCACUGACUCAACGGGGCGUUCACAGGAAGCCAAGCCAGAGAGUCACCACUCAAGGAGCAUUCUCAGGGCCCCAAACUUGGGGUAACGCUAGACAGCCUCCUGAUUUCACUUCGCCCAGACAAGCUAACGCAAGGAGAGCGCAGCUUUGCUGUGAUGCCCGGCUCUUAAUCACCCACAGCCCAGCUUUAGAGAUAGUCAGGGAGCGUAGCCCUCAAUCAAAACCAAUCCAGCACUAGGACGAUGGCUUCUGAGAGCAGGGAGGGUAGGUUUUCAGGAGCUAGCCCGAGAUCACAGACAGUCCACCGCGGGGAUAGCUCAGGGCAUAGGACUGAUGGGGCUAGGGUGGGGAUGCAGGUUCUGCCUACCUUCCGUGCUACUUCAGUGCACAAACUGGAACUGGCUGCUGAGUCUGUCAUUAGCUUCCCAGCAUGCUUCUGGUUCAGCAGGUGCCUUGUGAACCCCAGAUUGGUGCCCGUGGAGAUUGGGUUUUGCUCCAGCGGCCCUUAGUAGGGUUCAUAUGGGAUCGAAAUGGCACCAGCAGUCGGGAGAGAUCAGGCCGUCCCUUUCCGUCCAUUCACAUCUCCUGUCCCAUCGUCAUUCCAAGAGAGGAUCUGGGGACCAUGAAUGGAUUUUGGUGUGGCUAUUUCACCACCCAAGAUGCAAACCGGCUGUGACGUUGCACCCCAUAAUGUUUUAUAGAAAUAUGCUUAUGAGUGUAAAUAUGACAUAACUGGAAUAUGUUUUAUGCUAGAUAUGCCAUGUAACAUAUCUUUGCAAA